GAUGAACGCUGGCGGCGUGCCUAAUACAUGCAAGUCGAGCGAACAGACGAGGAGCUUGCUCCUCUGACGUUAGCGGCGGACGGGUGAGUAACACGUGGAUAACCUACCUAUAAGACUGGGAUAACUUCGGGAAACCGGAGCUAAUACCGGAUAAUAUAUUGAACCGCAUGGUUCAAUAGUGAAAGACGGUUUUGCUGUCACUUAUAGAUGGAUCCGCGCCGCAUUAGCUAGUUGGUAAGGUAACGGCUUUCCAAGGCAACGAUGCGUAGGCGAACUGAGAGGGUGAUCGGCCACACUGGAACUGAGACACGGUCCAGACUCCUACGGGAGGCAGCAGUAGGGAAUCUUCCGCAAAGGGCGGAAGCCUGACGGAGCAACGCCGCGUGAGUUAUGAAGGUCUUCGGAUCGUAAAACUCUGUUAUUAGGGAAGAACAAAUGUGUAAGUAACUAUGCACGUCUUGACGGUACCUAAUCAGAAAGCCACGGCUAACUACGUG
rnacentral:rRNA from 1 species